UACGUAUGUCCCGAGCGUUAUCCGGAUUUAUUGGGCGUAAAGCGAGCGCAGCCGGUUGGUUAAGUCUGAUGUGAAAGCCCGGAGCUCAACUUCGGAAUGGCAUUUGAUACUGGUGAACUUGAGUGCAGUAGAGGUAAGCGGAACUCCAUGUGUAGCGGUGGAAUGCGUAGAUAUAUGGAAGAACACCAGUGGCGAAGGCAGCUUACUGG
rnacentral:rRNA from 1 species